rnacentral:rRNA from 1 species
CUAAGGCUAAAUACUCUCUAGUGACCGAUAGUGAACCAGUACCGUGAGGGAAAGGUGAAAAGCACCCCGGAAGGGGAGUGAAAUAGAACCUGAAACCGUGUGCUUACAAGUAGUCAGAGCCCGUUAAUGGGUGAUGGCGUGCCUUUUGUAGAAUGAACCGGCGAGUUACGAUUUGAUGCAAGGUUAAGCAGUAAAUGUGGAGCCGUAGCGAAAGCGAGUCUGAAUAGGGCGUUUAGUAUUUGGUCGUAGACCCGAAACCAGGUGAUCUACCCUUGGUCAGGUUGAAGUUCAGGUAACACUGAAUGGAGGACCGAACCGACUUACGUUGAAAAGUGAGCGGAUGAACUGAGGGUAGCGGAGAAAUUCCAAUCGAACCUGGAGAUAGCUGGUUCUCUCCGAAAUAGCUUUAGGGCUAGCCUCAAGUGAUGAUUAUUGGAGGUAGAGCACUGUUUGGACGAGGGGCCCCUCUCGGGUUACCGAAUUCAGACAAACUCCGAAUGCCAAUUAAUUUAACUUGGGAGUCAGAACAUGGGUGAUAAGGUCCGUGUUCGAAAGGGAAACAGCCCAGACCACCAGCUAAGGUCCCAAAAUAUAUGUUAAGUGGAAAAGGAUGUGGCGUUGCCCAGACAACUAGGAUGUUGGCUUAGAAGCAGCCAUCAUUUAAAGAGUGCGUAAUAGCUCACUAGUCGAGUGACACUGCGCCGAAAAUGUACCGGGGCUAAACAUAUUACCGAAGCUGUGGAUUGUCCUUUGGACAAUGGUAGGAGAGCGUUCUAAGGGCGUUGAAGCAUGAUCGUAAGGACAUGUGGAGCGCUUAGAAGUGAGAAUGCCGGUGUGAGUAGCGAAAGACGGGUGAGAAUCCCGUCCACCGAUUGACUAAGGUUUCCAGAGGAAGGCUCGUCCGCUCUGGGUUAGUCGGGUCCUAAGCUGAGGCCGACAGGCGUAGGCGAUGGAUAACAGGUUGAUAUUCCUGUACCACCUAUAAUCGUUUUAAUCGAUGGGGGGACGCAGUAGGAUAGGCGAAGCGUGCGAUUGGAUUGCACGUCUAAGCAGUAAGGCUGAGUAUUAGGCA